rnacentral:rRNA from 1 species
GUACGUAGGGGGCGAGCGUUGUCCGGAAUGAUUGGGCGUAAAGGGCGCGUAGGCGGCCCGGUAAGUCUGGAGUGAAAGUCCUGUUUUUAAGAUGGGAAUUGCUUUGGAUACUGUCGGGCUUGAGUGCAGGAGAGGUAAGUGGAAUUCCCAGUGUAGCGGUGAAAUGCGUAGAGAUUGGGAGGAACACCAGUGGCGAAGGCGACUUACUGGACUGUAACUGACGCUGAGGCGCGAAAGUGUGGGGAGCAAACAGGAUUAUAUACCCUGGUAGUCCACACCGUAAACGAUGAAUGCUAGGUGUAGGGGGUAUCGACCCCUGCUGUGCCGCAGUCAACACAAUAAGCAUUCCGCCUGGGGAGUACGGCCGCAAGGUUGAAACUCAAAGGAAUUGACGGGG